GCGGGGUAGGGGAAUGGUCAACUCAUCAGGCUCAUGAUCUGAAGAUUGCAGGUUCGAAUCCUGUCCCGCA
rnacentral:tRNA from 1 species